rnacentral:tmRNA from 1 species
GGGGCUGAUUGGUUUUGACAGCGGGUAGAAGAGGCAGGUAAGCAUGCAGGGUUUUGGUUGUUGACCCUUAAAAAAUAAUGAUCAAAACCAUAAUUGGCGAAAAUAAUUACGCUCUUGCAGCGUAACCGAAUCAAGUAGGUUACCGCUUAAUCCCGAUGCAAGGCAUUGGGACAAGACAUCGCCCGGGUGCUGUUGCCACGAAGCGGCCCGAUCCGGCGGUGCAAGUAAAUCGAGGCUAGUUGAAGUUUUGCUCUGCAACUUCGGCGAAAUUAAAGGAGCUAAGGUACCGGUCGGUGGCCCUGAUCCAGCCGGUGCACGAAAAUUAAGUCGGGGCUAAGCAUGUAGAAAGCCUGUGGCUUCCUCGUUUGGACGCGGGUUCGACUCCCGCCAGCUCCACCA